rnacentral:rRNA from 1 species
UACGUAGGUGGCGAGCGUUGUCCGGAUUUACUGGGCGUAAAGGGAGCGUAGGCGGACUUUUAAGUGAGAUGUGAAAUACCCGGGCUCAACUUGGGUGCUGCAUUUCAAACUGGAAGUCUAGAGUGCAGGAGAGGAGAAUGGAAUUCCUAGUGUAGCGGUGAAAUGCGUAGAGAUUAGGAAGAACACCAGUGGCGAAGGGCGAUUCUCUGGACUGUAACUGACGCUGAGGCUCGAAAGCGUGGGGAGCAAACAGGG